rnacentral:rRNA from 1 species
GGAUUAGAUACCCUGGUAGUCCACGCUGUAAACGAUGAGUACUAGCUGUUGGUUCUGGUGUAAAAGAAUUAGUGGCUCAGUUAACGCGAUAAGUACUCCGCCUGGGGACUACGACCGCAAGGUUAAAACUCAAAGGAAUUGACGGGGACCCGCACAAGCGGUGGAGCAUGUGGUUUAAUUCGAUGCAACGCGAAGAACCUUACCUACCCUUGACAUCCACAGAAGACAGAAGAGAUUUUGUUGUGCCUUCGGGAACUGUGAGACAGGUGCUGCAUGGCUGUCGUCAGCUCGUGCCG